rnacentral:rRNA from 1 species
CGCGUAGGCGGCUUCAUAAGUCAGAUGUGAAAUCCCACGGCUUAACUGUGGAAGUGCAUUUGAAACUGUGAGGCUUGAGUAUCGGAGGGGAGUGUGGAAUUCCCGGUGUAGAGGUGAAAUUCGUAGAGAUCGGGAGGAACACCGGUGGCGAAGGCGACACUCUGGACGAAUACUGACGCUGAGGCGCGAAAGCGUGGGGAGCAAACA